rnacentral:rRNA from 1 species
CAGCCGCCGCGGUAAGACAGAGGUCCCGAGCGUUGUUCGGAUUCAUUGGGCGUAAAGGGUGUGUAGGAGGCCAGGUAAGUCAGGUGUGAAAUCUCAGAGCUUAACUCUGAAACUGCGCUUGAUACUGCUUGGCUAGAGGAUCGGAGGGGGUAACGGAAUUUAUGGUGUAGCAGUGAAAUGCGUAGAUAUCAUAAGGAACACCGGUGGCGAAGGCGGUUACCUGGAAGAUUCCUGACUCUGAAACACGAAAGCCAGGGGAGCAAACGGGAUUAGAUACCCGCGUAGUCCCUGUCUCUUAUAA